rnacentral:lncRNA from 1 species
CUGCCUCCCAAAGCACUGGGAUUAAAGGCAUGAGCCAUCACACCUAGCCAAAAAAAAACUCUUAAAUGGAAUUUUAGACCAGGUGCAAUGGUUCACACCUGUAAUCCCAACACUUAGGAGACUGAGGUGGGAGGAUCGCUUGAGUCCAGGAGUUUGAGACCAGCCUGAGCAGCACAGCAACACUCUGUGUCUACAAAAUAUUUUUAAAACAAUGAAGAAAUGGGAUUUUAUAGUUUUUAAUACAAUAAACCGUUUGUGGUCAGUUUUUAAAAAGAUAUAUUUAAUCUUAUUUAUUUUAGCACUCUCUUCUCAGAGGUAUCAUUUGAAUAAUUUUUAUGGGCAACCUUCUAGUGCCCAGUAGAGUGCCCAGUACACUCAUCCACUAGUUGCCGAAUGACAGAAUUUAUUCAGGGCCGGCGCAGUGGCUCAAACCUGUAAUCCCAACCCUUUGGGAAGCCUAAGCGGGCAGAGCACUUGAGCCCAGGAGUUUGAGACCAGCCUGGGCAACAUGGUGAAACCCCAUCUCUACAAAAAAUAACAAAAAUUAGCUAGGUGUGGUGGUGUGCACCUGUAGUGCCAGCUACUUGGGGGGCUGAGGUGGGAGGAUCACUUGAACCUGGGGAGUUGAGGCUGCAGUGAGCUGAGAUCAUGCUACUGUAUGACAGCCUGGGUGACAAAGUGAGACCCUGUCUCAAAAAACAAAUUUUUUAUUCAAAAAGUGUUCAUUAAAAUGCAGGUAGUUGUCAAAUUUAUGGGAACGGUGUUCCACAAAAAUGAAUUCAUCGUCCUAUGAGUUGCCUUUGUACCACGUUUUUGGAUGUGAGCAUGGCUAGUUUGGGGUUUUAACUUUUUUAGAAACAGGAACAGAAGCACAUUGUAAAAAAAUUUAAAAUUCCCUGGGUAUUUUUUCACCCCGAGACUCUCACAGCAUUACUUUAAAAAUUUUUUAUUUUGAAAUAUACAUACAGAAAAUUAUUUUUCUAAACAGCUUAUUGAGGUACAAAUGACAUCACCAUUACUUUUUUAACAUUAUGCAGAAAGACAACCAAAGACUACCUACUCCCACAGUAUGUGUACAAAAAAACGGUUUCUAUGGAUAUUUUUGUAUAUGAAAAUAUCAUGGACUUAUAUAAAUAUUGUUUCUAGCACAACUCUAUAUUUGUAAAUUAAUUUAUAAUGUAAACUGGGGCAGCAAAGAAAAGUUUUUCCCAAGAAAGUUCACUGCAUGCUGAGAAGAAG